rnacentral:rRNA from 1 species
GGGGAAUUUUUUCCCCCAAUGGAGGAAAAACCUUGAGGUAAGCAUAUACUGGUGUGAGGAAGGAAGCGUUAAUGGAUUGUUAAACCUAUUUUUUUAGCGGAAGAACUCCCAAGGCCGGUUCUGGAGAAAAAAGCUUUUGGUUAAUGGUUACCACCAGCGGGGGUUUAUCUGAGGAUACAAGCGUUUUCCGGAACAAUUGGCGGAAAGCUUCCGCAGGUGGCUGUGUAAGUUUGCUGUUAAAGAGUGAGGCUCAACCUCAUAAAGGCAGUGGAACCUACACGGCUAGAGUGCGUUCGGGGCAGAGGGAAUUCCUGGUGUAGCGGUGAAAUGCGUAGAGAUCAGGAAGAACACCGGUGGCGAAAGCGCUCUGUUAGGCCGCAACUGACCCUGAGGGACGAAAGCUAGGGGAGCGAAAGGGAUUAGAUACCCCAGUAGUC